rnacentral:rRNA from 1 species
UUGUGUAGGAUAGGUGGGAGGCUUUGAAACCGGGACGCCAGUUCCGGUGGAGCCAACCUUGAAUACCACCCUGGUGUCGUCGAGGUUCUAACCCAGGCCUGUGAAUCCAGGUCGGGGACCGUGCAUGGUGGGCAGUUUGACUGGGGCGGUCUCCUCCCAAAAGGUAACGGAGGAGUACGAAGGUCACCUAGGUACGGUCGGACAUCGUACUGAUAGUGCAAUGGCAAAAGGUGGCUUGACUGCGAGACCCACAAGUCGAGCAGGUGCGAAAGCAGGUCAUAGUGAUCCGGUGGUUCUGUAUGGAAGGGCCAUCGCUCAACGGAUAAAAGGUACUCUGGGGAUAACAGGCUGAUUCCGCCCAAGAGUUCACAUCGACGGCGGAGUUUGGCACCUCGAUGUCGGCUCAUCACAUCCUGGGGGCUGUAGCCGGUCCCAAGGGUAUGGCUGUUCGCCAUUUAAAGUGGUACGUGAGCUG